UCAUAAAGCUCUCAGCUGGUGUAUACGGCUGUCAGAGGCUGGGCUGGCGUAGACUGGCCGCAGACUACCAAGCGGAGGCCGUGGGCCACAAGCUUGAGCGGCUAGGGCAUGUUUCCAGGCCAGCUAAAUGCAACGGCUAGGUCUGCUAAUUGCGGCGCAGGUGUUGCCCGCCCCCGCUCCCUCGUACCUGGCCGCACCAGUGCACCACGCAUCUCUGCACUUGCUUGCUAAGGCCUGCCACGCAAGCAUGCCACGCCGGACCACGCACGCCUUGACCAUCGCACGGACCGGACACACCCCGUCAAUGCCUCAACCGUCAAGCUUGGCAGCACAAUGCAUGGUUACUACCGUACCCUUAAUCGAACACAAUUAACACAAUCAACGCACCGACACUAGCUCGGCCUCACUUCCUGGCUUCCCUCUCCCUAUCCGCCAGUCUACUUCCUAUCUUGCCUCCCUCCUCCGCAUUGCCCGCCCCACCGCCCAGACCAUGUUUGCCCCAACUCGCCCAAGUGCUUGGCCAUGGCCGGCUUAUGCCGCCAGGGCUUGCCCGCCAAUCUCUGCACUCUGCACAUGUGUCUCCGGACGGUGCAGGAGUGUGGAAAGCGGCAAAGUGCGCAACACGGCCAACCGCGGCCAUGUCCCACCGGAAGUGCCUAGACCCGCUGGCCGCCAUACUGCACCGGGGUGAGCAUAUGGAGCAAUGAUACAGUGAUACAUCCACAACACCGGUAGCCGCACAGCAUGUUGUUUCCCUGGUUUGGGUGUUUGGCCCGAUUACUGCGUGCCAUGUCGCUGUGUGGAAGAGCUGCCUUUUCAAACAGCCAAUUGACUAAGUAUUACCUCAAGUGGAUGUGUUUCCGCCAGUCCUAUCGGCGCCCAGAAAGCUCUGGGCAAGCAGCUUGAGACACCUCACCACGUGCACUUUUUGCCCCAUUCCGCUCCAUGCUCGGCAUAGGAGUUUCUAUUGGCGGGUCCCUGCGCAACAGGUCGGCGUGCCAGUGAGACUGUCGUACUUUCAUGAUGCACUGCGCAGUGUGCGUGCGAUGGGACCUUGCUGUGCACCAGCUGUCGUUCCAGGCCCCCGCUUGCACCUAAGGACUUAUGCAAGCGUGCAAACACACGACGCGCAUACCCCACCAGGUAAACCAACCUCCAACUCCAGCUAUUUCGUUGCACGGCCCAGAAUCCAUUCCAAUCAUCAUCCCCGCGUGGUCUCGCCCACCACCCAGUGAAGCGCAAGAAGCGGAGGUUGCAAGCAGGCGACACCCUCCCCUGGUCAGCCCCGAAUAGGUGAUGCCCCCCGCCCCCAAGCCGCCUUUGAUACGUCCCAUCUAUCACUUAUACAUGCUUGAGCGCCCUGCCAGUACGGCGGCCGGCGGCCUCGCCCACAUCGACUCCAUCCGCCGUGGCUCCACGGCACGUGCACCGUGACAAGGAAGCGCGCCGCAGCCGACGACCAGGGCAUUUCACGUUGGAAUAAACGCAGCCCUACGCCUGUGACCAUGGAGCCCCCAAGUCAAGCAGGCAGCGAGGUCCGCACGGAUGUUGCGCGUGGAAAUUUCGAGAACAAGAAGGUUUCCAGUCUUUCCGACUCCCGCCUGUUGACAGGCAAUGCACAUGUCAAGCGUUGUAAACACAUGCGCCAACUAUAUGGCCUGGCCACCCCGAAAUUUUC
rnacentral:lncRNA from 1 species